CGGUUGAUCCUGCCGGACCCUACUGCUAUCGGGGUGGGACUAAAACAUGCAAGUCGAGCGUCUCCCAAGCCAUUGUAGAGGCGCGGCGUACGGCUCAGUAACACGUGGCCAACCUACCCUUUGGACGGGAACAACCCCGGGAAACUGGGGCUAAUCCCCGAUAGGUGAAGAAGCCUGGAAUGGUUCUUCACCCAAAAGACGUUGAAACCAUGCUUUUCAACGUCGCCAAAGGAUGGGGCCGCGGCCGAUCAGGUUGUUGGUGAGGUAACGGCUCACCAAGCCUAUAACCGGUACGGGCCGUGAGAGCGGUAGCCCGGAGAUGGGCACUGAGACAAGGGCCCAGGCCCUACGGGGCGCAGCAGUCGCGCAACCUCUGCAAUACGCGAAAGCGUGACAGGGCUACCCCGAGUGCCGUCCGCUGAGGACGGCUUUUCCCCGGUGUAAGGAGCCGGAGGAAUAAGGAGAGGGCAAGACUGGUGUCAGCCGCCGCGGUAAUACCAGCUCUCCGAGUGGUAGGGAUGAUUAUUGAGCCUAAAGCGUCCGUAGCCGGCCUAACAAGUUUCCCGUUAAAUCCAACGACCUAAUCGUUGGACUGCGGGAAAUACUGUUUGGCUAGGAGGCGGGAGAGGCCAACGGUAUUCCCGGGGUAGGGGUGAAAUCCUAUAAUCCCGGGAGGACCACCAGUGGCGAAGGCUGUUGGCUAGAACGCGCUCGACGGUGAGGGACGAAAGCUGGGGGAGCGAACCGGAUUAGAUACCCGGGUAGUCCCAGCUGUAAACGAUGCGGACUAGGUGUUAGAGCGGCUACGAGCCGCUCUAGCGCCGCAGGGAAGCCAUUAAGUCCGCCGCUUGGGAAGUACGGCCGCAAGGCUGAAACUUAAAGGAAUUGGCGGGGGAGCAC
rnacentral:rRNA from 1 species